UAGGACUCCUGACAAUGGAUAUCUUGGCUCUCGCGUCGAUGAAGAACGCAGCGAAAUGCGAUACGUGGUGCGAAUUGCAUGAUCCCGUGAACCAUUGAGUUUUUGAACGCAUGUUGCGCCUGAAUCCAACUGGCCAAGGGCACGUCCGCCUGGGCGUCAAGC
rnacentral:rRNA from 1 species